AUUGCCACUAAUACCACUUUCCUAAUACCACUUUUCAACUUUACACUUUUCAAAUUUACCAUUAAAAUUUUAAUGGCUAAAGUACCAUUAUACCCCUCAUUUCAUUAAUUUAACCUAGAUCUAUUCUUCUCCAAAUGUCUGUCACGAGAUGAAACUGAGAUCAAAUUGAGACGAGCUCCAACGAGAUCUCCGGCAAACUCGGCGAUCUCCGGCGAAUUCGGCGAUCUCCGGCGAACUUGGCGAUCUCCGGUGAACUCGACGAUCUCCGACGAACUCGACCGGAUUGGGAGAGCGUGGCGGCGAGUGGACAUCCCGCCGUUCCUCCGCCGGCAUUAUGUAGUCGUAGUAAUCAUCCGAUGCUAAAUCGGUCACGUUCGUCACGAAUCGCAUGCCGAGAAGUUCUCCGGCAAAGCUGACAGACUCGACAAGCUCAGACGAACGAGACGAUCUCUCUCCCAACGCCUAAGAAAUACUAACAAAGAGAAUUACAAAUGUGUGUUGUCAGCUUUUGGAUUUAAAGGAUGUUGUGGAGAAUAUGUGUGGUGAUAUGCAUAUCUAAGUAUCUCACUUCCUUAAAGUAAUACAAUGCUACUAUUUGUAGUUUGACUAGCAAUGUUUUAGUAUGUGCAGUAUAUGAGGUGGAACGUUGGUGUUUUGGUAGUGUAACGUUCUAUUUAUACUUUGUGAGUUUAUUUUUUAUGUCUUGUUUUGUGUAUAAUAUCUACAGAAGCAGUGGAGAUGAAUGAUGAGUUUGUUGAGUUACGAAAGCAUACUAUUUUUGAAUCUUAUUUUUGGAAGUGAAUGCUGAUGCGUAGAAAUAAUAUGUGACUGGCUUUUGUUCAGAUUUUGAAAAUUUACGAGGUUGGUGAGCUGUUUGAAGAGGCAAGAGAGACUCUGAAGAAGAAUGUGGUUUGUGCUAUCAAAGAAUUACGUAUUUAUAACGCUUUAUAAAAGUUGCAGAGUUGGCUUCUUAGUACAUUCUUCUCUCUCAUCUUAUUUAGACAUCUCUUAUACUAAAACAAUUGUAUCUCUCUUUUAGUAGUUACAUAGUUGAAGAUAUUAGUUGGACAUGUAAGUGAGUUUGGUUUCAAUUGUUUCUUUUAUAGAAGAGUGAGAUAUGGAGAAGCCUUGAUGUUCUCAGACUAUGUUAAAGCAAUAUAUCCCUUGUUGAAGGACGUGGCUCUUUCACCAGAUAUGUCUUUUUUGUGUUGAUUGUCUUUUGGAGGGAUUUUAGAAAAAUUACCUUAUAAGCCAUUGUAAAUAAAUUUAUAAACGCUUAUAAAUCACUUUGAGUUUCUUACA